rnacentral:rRNA from 1 species
UACGUAGGGUGCGAGCGUUGUCCGGAAUUACUGGGCGUAAAGAGCUCGUAGGCGGUUUGUCGCGUCGUCCGUGAAAAACUUGGGGCUCAACCCCCAAGCUUGCGGGCGAUACGGGCAGACUUGAGUACUGCAGGGGAGACUGGAAUUCCUGGUGUAGCGGUGAAAUGCGCAGAUAUCAGGAGGAACACCGGUGGCGAAGGCGGGUCUCUGGGCAGUAACUGACGCUGAGGAGCGAAAGCGUGGGUAGCAAACAGG